rnacentral:rRNA from 1 species
UACGUAGGUGGCAAGCGUUGUCCGGAUUUACUGGGCGUAAAGGGCGCGUAGGCGGCCACCGCAAGUCGACUGUGAAAUCUCCGGGCUUAACCCGGAAAGGUCAGCCGAUACUGCGGGGCUAGAGUGCAGAAGGGGCAACUGGAAUUCUCGGUGUAGCGGUGAAAUGCGUAGAUAUCGAGAGGAACACCUGCGGCGAAGGCGGGUUGCUGGGCUGACACUGACGCUGAGGCGCGAAAGCCAGGGGAGCGAACGGG